rnacentral:rRNA from 1 species
AUACGUAGGGUGCGAGCGUUGUCCGGAAUUACUGGGCGUAAAGAGCUCGUAGGUGGUUUGUCGCGUCGUCUGUGAAAUUCCGGGGCUUAACUCCGGGCGUGCAGGCGAUACGGGCAUAACUUGAGUACUGUAGGGGAGACUGGAAUUCCUGGUGUAGCGGUGAAGGGCGCAGAUAUCUGGAGGAACACCGGUGGCGAAGGCGGGUCUCUGGGCAGUAACUGACGCUGAGGAGCGAAAGCAUGGGUAGCGAACAGGAUUAGAUACCCUGGUAGUCCAUGCCGUAAACGGUGGGCGCUAGGUGUAGGGGUCUUCCACGACUUCUGUGCCGUAGCUAACGCAUUAAGCGCCCCGCCUGGGGAGUACGGCCGCAAGGCUAAAACUCAAAUGAAUUGACGGGG